AAGUGGGCUUGGAAGCAGCCACCUUUUAGCGAUAGCGUAACAGCUCAGUGGUCUGAGCCUCCCUGUAAAAAGGGAAUAUUGCCUGGUGAGGGCGCCAAAAAUGUAACGGGUCUAUAGUAGUUGUCUCUCUGUUCCAGCUUUGGAUAUGGAGGGAGUGGCAGUUUCUUCACUGUCUCACCGAAACCCUGUCCUAGAUGUAAAAUUCUAGGGGUAGCAGAAUACCCAGCAAAUGGAAUGAAGCUUGCUCAUUGAGCCGGUGGACAUAGCUGGGCUAAGAAUGCUGACAUGAGUAGCCUAAAAGGAGGGUAAUUCCCUCUUCGCCGAAAGCAGAAGGGUUUCAUUUGUAAGGUCUAUACCUAGAUGAUUAAAGCAGCGGCCUCUAAGGUUCAGAGUAACAAAUUAGUUCCGAUGAGUAACUCUUCUAUAGGGCAGUAACCUUCCUUAUAAGCUUACCUUCAAGUAAUUAGAGGUAUACUUCAAAGAGUAAGGUUCGGGAAAGAGCCCUACAGAAUCAAUCUUAAAACCGUACCCUAAACCGACACAGGUCUGCAAGUAGAGCAUACUAAGGCGUAGAGAUAAUCGUCUUGAAGGAACUCGGCAAAAUGACCCCGUAACUUCGGGAGAAGGGGUGCCACUAAUAAGUGGCGGCACUAAACAGGGGGGCGCGACUGUUUACUUAAAACACCGGACUCUGCUAACACCAGCGUGGAUGUAUAGAGUCUGAUACC
rnacentral:rRNA from 1 species